GGGGAGGCGUGCCGUGCUCACCCUGGUCACCCAGGCCAUCACAGAGGUGGCGGGUCCCCAGCAUCAGGAGGCCCAGCUCAAAGCCGUACCCCUCAACCUGGCCCGCAUACUGCUGGUUCUAGACUACCUGUUGCACCAGUACUCUAAGGUUCCUAUGUACCUCUUCCAACAGGUCCAGUACAAUCUGCUGACCCCUCCGUGGUCAGGCCAGGGUUCAGUCCAGGACGGAUCCAAACGCAGCGCCCUGCCGCUCUACUGCGGCUUUAAAGAGGUGGAGGAGAACUGGUCUAAGCACUGCUCGGCAGGUAGGAAUUCCACAGUAGUGCAACCCAAAU